rnacentral:rRNA from 1 species
UGCCCACUGAUUUUAUAUUAAAGGGCUGCAGUAUUUUGACUGUACAAAGGUAGCAUAAUCAAUAGUCAUUUAAUUGAUGACUUGUAUGAAAGAUUGGAUGAAAUAUAGACUGUCUUUAAAAUAAUAUUAGAAUUUAAUUUUUUAGUUAAAAAGCUAAAAUUAAUUAAAAAGACGAGAAGACCCUAUAGAGUUUUAUUAUUUUUUAUAAUUAUGGUUAUUUAUAAAUUUAAUGAUUUAAUUUUAUAUAAUAAUUUUAUUGGGGUGAUAGGAAAAUUAAAAAAACUUUUUUUUUUAAGAAUCAUAAAUAAGUGAAUUUUUGAUCCAAUUUUAUUGAUUAUAAGAAAAAAUUACCUUAGGGAUAACAGCGUUAUUUUGUUUUUUAGUUCAAAUAAAAAAUAAAGUUUGCGACCUCGAUGUUGGAUUAAGAUAAAAUUUAAAUGUAGAAGUUUAUAGUUUUGA